UUACAAUCUCUAUGGUGCACGAGUUUGUAAAAUAUGCCUCGAAAGGGUUGAGAUCCCUAACAAAAUGAGGCUAUCGAAAGGGCCAAUGAAAUGACUGAAAGCUGCAUAGUUACUUCAGUGUGCAACUUACUGUAUAGGAACCAUCUGAGAAUUUCUGAAGAAUAAUGACGAGGUUCCUCCCUGUGUCAAUCUAUUUUUCUUAUUUAAGCCCUACUUUUGUACAGGCUGGUAUAUUAAACCUAUCUACUAACUUAGUGAGAUUUUUCACGAACUUGAGAUAAAUUUGAAAUUCGCAAAAGAUGGUGAAUCGUUCUACGGGCAGGUUUAAGCCUAUUUGCUUUUUCGAACCAUGUCAAGUAUUGAAGCUUCUAAUUCACCCUGUUUAGGGAGAGUACAGGAUUUCUCUCAUUACUCAGCACGGGGUUCCAGAAGAACGAUUGUCCUGUCACCGGAAGCUUCAAUAGGCUGUCUGGAUAACUGCCGGAUUGAGUCGAUUAUUUUAGGGUGUGGAAGCAGUUUUUCGGUUCUGCCACAUUCUUUUCCCCCUCCAAAAGUAACCCGCCUCUUGCGACCCGAUAAAGCCUUGCUCGGCCACUUUUUUGUUUGAGUUGGCUUGCUAACCUCCCACAGUUUAAAAACACUUUUUUUUUUUGUCGUUUUGAUCGUUAGUUUAAUAUCCCCAGUUUCAAGUCAACCACGUGCUAAUAAAAUUAGAAUCUAUAGAUGUACGUUUGAUAUGAAAUUCAAUGCUGAUGUGCCAAGAGGAUAUAAGAUUCUUUCACUACCCUUUGAAAAUCUAACAAUUGUAAAACGCAAGACAAAUUGCAAAAAGCAGGAAAGGCAACAAAGAGACAAAAGAACAGUCAAUACAGUGUGGAGCUGGAAGAACACAGCAGGGUUAGAUAAUACAAAAUUGGAGGCAGCAGAAUCUAACUGGUGGGAGACAGGCACCUGCAGCAUGUCAUCCUGGCAGAAAGAAGAGUUCAUCAUCACUGGAACAGCCAUGUCUGAGACUAUAAACAGUUGCAGAACUGGAAGGAUCAAAGAUGACAGUUACUCAUAACUAAUCCUCCUGGAGCCAGAUUGCCUCACUCGCUUGAAUAAUGAAAUUAACAUAGAUAGGAGGAGAUAAGUAGCAACAUUGAGUACAAUAUCAAUACUUUGGAAAACGUUUGACUUUUGAUGUGGUUUUAGGCAUGAUAUUCCUGCAUAUGAAUUUUGUCUUUUUGCGGUAAAUAUGUACUGAAGCUACAUAAGUUAGUGAAAUGGUGAAUAUGAUAGUUGCUGUGGAGUGUAGAGCAUAAACUGAGCAAACAAUUAACUGAUCGUAAUCUACAACAUAAAAUCCAAUAAAUUCAUGCCAGCAUGGAACCAAACAGCAAUUAAUUA